rnacentral:rRNA from 1 species
UGGGGAAUAUUGGGCAAUGGGCGAAAGCCUGACCCAGCAACGCCGCGUGAAGGAAGAAGGUUUUCGGAUCGUAAACUUCUAUCCUUGGCGAAAAUAAUGAUGGUAACCAAGAAGGAAGCCCCGGCUAACUACGUGCCAGCAGCCGCGGUAAUACGUAGGGGGCAAGCGUUGUCCGGAAUGAUUGGGCGUAAAGGGCGCGUAGGCGGCCUGGUAAGUCUGGAGUGAAAGUCCUGCUUUUAAGGUGGGAAUUGCUUUGGAUACUGUCGGGCUUGAGUGCAGGAGAGGUAAGCGGAAUUCCCGGUGUAGCGGUGAAAUGCGUAGAGAUCGGGAGGAACACCAGUGGCGAAGGCGGCUUACUGGACUGUAACUGACGCUGAGGCGCGAAAGUGUGGGGAGCAAACAGGAUUAGAUACCCUGGUAGUCCACACUGUAAACGAUGAAUGCUAGGUGUAGGGGGUAUCGACCCCUUCUGUGCCGGAGUAAACACAAUAAGCAUUCCGCCUGGGGAGUACGGCCGCAAGGUUGAAACUCAAAGGAAUUGACGGACUCUCGUACU